AGAGUUUGAUCAUGGCUCAGGAUCAACGCUGGCGGCGUGCCUAAUGCAUGCAAGUCGCGCGCGGUCCCUUUCGGGGGAGCUGCGCGGCGGACGGGUGCGUAACACGUGGGCAACCUGCCCUGGGGUGGGGGAUAGCCGUGGGAAACCGCGGGUAAUUCCGCAUACGUUGCUUCUUCAGCCGGGAGGAGCAAGAAAGGGAGCAAUCCCGCCCUUGGAGGGGCCUGCGGCCGAUUAGCUGGACGGUGGGGUAACGGCCUACCGUGGCGAUGAUCGGUAGCUGGUCUGAGAGGACGAUCAGCCACACGGGGACUGAGACACGGCCCCGACUCCUACGGGAGGCAGCAGCAAGGAAUUUUCCACAAUGGGCGCAAGCCUGAUGGAGCAACGCCGCGUGGGGGAUGACGCACUUCGGUGUGUAAACUCCUUUUCGUGGGGACGAAGCCAAUGACGGUACCCACGGAAGAAGGACCGGCUAACUACGUGCCAGCAGCCGCGGUAAGACGUAGGGUCCGAGCGUUGUCCGGAGUUACUGGGCGUAAAGCGCGCGCAGGCGGUUGUCCACAUCGGCGGUGAAAGCCCCGCGCUUAACGCGGGAGGGUCCGUCGAGAUGGGGCGACUGGAGGCAGGGAGAGGCGAGUGGAAUUCCGGGUGUAGUGGUGAAAUGCGUAGAGAUCCGGAGGAACACCAGUGGCGAAGGCGGCUCGCUGGACCUGACCUGACGCUGAGGCGCGAAGGCGUGGGGAGCGAACGGGAUUAGAUACCCCAGUAGUCC
rnacentral:rRNA from 1 species